GGAAGCCGCCCGGCUGCGUACAAAACCAUGGCUGGCAGGCUGCGCCCUCCAUCAGCAGCAACCGCCGGAGGCGCCCUCCGUGACGGUGUGGGUCGAAGGGAGACCGGUAACCGCCCUACUGGACACCGGGAGCACGGUGACCCUUGCCCAACCCUCCAUCCUGCCUGAGGGGCGCCGCCCAAGCGGGACGCUUACCGUGACAUGCGUCCAUGGGGACACCCGGGAGGUCCCCUCAGCUGAGGUCCAGAUCCGGAGCGAAGCCGGCACCUGGCCCCUCCAGGUCGGAAUCAUCCCCGAACUCCCCGUGCCCCUCCUCCUGGGACGAGACUGGCCAGGAUUCCGGGUGGUACAGAGAGCCGAGCCCCGGAGACCGCGGCGGCGGGGGAAGGGGAUCCCAACCUGGCCAGCCUACCUGGCCCAGGACGACGGAGAGGCCCCCUCAGAAGGUAAGACCCCCCAAACUACUAACCCUCUGUCGGCUGUCUUUCCCCAGGUAAACCGGGAGGGGAAGUUCGGCCGGGAGCAGAAGGAGGACGACUGGCUGAAGCACUGCUGGGCCCAGGUACGGGUGAUAGAGGGGGUCGACCAGAGCCCAGACCUGAGGCUCCCCACAUCGUACUUCCUCGUCCGAGGGGGGCUCCUGUACCAACGGGCCUGCCGCCGCGGGGAGCCGGUGGAGCUAUUGGUGGUGCCCCGAGCCAAGACAGCCGUCUUAUUACACCUAGCCCACACCCAUCCCCUCGGCGGCCACCUGGGGGCCCGAAAUACCCUGGAGAAACUGCGGGACCGCUUCGUGUGGUCCUGGUCCUGGUCGACUACGCCACUCGGUACCCUGAGGCGGUGCCGCUCCGCAAGGCCACCUCGCAAAACAUCGCCAGGGAGCUGGUACUCCUCUUCAGUCGAGUGGGGAUCCCCAAGGACGUGUUGACCGACCAAGGAGGCACAAGCGCGGACGAGACCGCCGGAUAGUGAGAGUCGCACACACGGAGGACGCCGGCCCGGGAAAACCCCCGCCCCGCCUCGGGAAUCCCGCCUCCGCCACGAGUAGACUCCGCCGGCCGUCACGCCUUCACAAAACCCCGCACUCAUCCACUUAUAACCCAUUCACCUCACCCUAGCCACAAUAAACCACCGCUUGCAACCAUCCUUCUGUCUCCUGUGGGUCUGUACGCUGCCCUUCCCCGGGCUAAUUCCUCACAAAGG
ensembl:lncRNA